CCCAUCAGUGAUGAAAUCAUCUCACUGUUUCGAGUGACUAACAAUGAGACAAGCUUUAUUUUACAUGCACUACCAUCUGAGAUGGG